rnacentral:rRNA from 1 species
AAUGAACGUUGGCGGCGUGGAUUAGGCAUGCAAGUCGAGCGAGAACCCGCAAGGGGGACAGCGGCGAACGGGGUAGGAAUACGUAGGUAACGUACCCUCGGGGCGAGGACAGCCACGGGAAACUGUGGGUAAUACUCGAUAAACUUCCCAAUCAUUAUGGAAGGGGAAGCAAUGGGUGUGAUUCCACCUGAGGAGCGGCUUACGCAGUAUCAGCUAGUUGGUGAGGUAACGGCUCACCAAGGCUACGACGCUUAGGGGUGUGAGAGCAUGGCCCCCACCACUGGCACUGAGACACUGGCCAGACACCUACGGGUGGCUGCAGUCGAGAAUCUUCGGUCAAUGACGCAAGUCUGACCGAGCGACGCCGCG